rnacentral:ncRNA from 2 species
AACCAUAGCUAGGGGUGUCUGAAGUGCCAGGCUGAGAUAGUCCCUUAGAACCUGAUACUGGGUAAUACCAGCGGAGGGAAGCUGUUUAUUGAGGAA